rnacentral:misc_RNA from 1 species
AGCAGCCGCGGUAAUUCCAGCUCCAAUAGCGUAUAUUAAAGUUGUUGCAGUUAAAAAGCUCGUAGUUGAAUUUCGGGAUCAAUGCGUCGGUCGUGCCUUCGGUACGUACUAGCGUCAUUGAUUCCUCCCUUCUGAAGAACCGUGAUGUCAUUAAUUUGGUGUUACGGGAAAUCAGGACUGUUACCUUGAAAAAUUAGAGUGUUUAAAGCAGGCUAACGCUUGAAUACAUUAGCAUGGAAUAAUGAAAUAGGACGUUCGAACCUAUUUUGUUGGUUUCUAGGAUCGACGUAAUGAUUAAUAGGGAUAGUUGGGGGCAUUAGUAUUCAAUUGUCAGAGGUGAAAUUCUUGGAUUUAUUGAAGACUAACUACUGCGAAAGCAUUUGCCAAGGAUGUUUUCAUUAAUCAAGAACGAAAGUUAGGGGAUCGAAGACGAUCAGAUACCGUCG